UACGUAGGGGGCAAGCGUUGUCCGGAUUUAUUGGGCGUAAAGAGCGUGUAGGCGGCCAUGCAGGUCCGCUGUGAAAACUCGAGGCUCAACCUCGAGAUGUCGGUGGAAACCGUAUGGCUAGAGUCCGGAAGAGGAGAGUGGAAUUCCUGGUGUAGCGGUGAAAUGCGCAGAUAUCAGGAGGAACACCAAUUGCGAAGGCAGCUCGCUGGGACGUUACUGACGCUGAGACGCGAAAGCGUGGGGAGCAAACAGG
rnacentral:rRNA from 1 species